UCUGCUGUCAACCGUUGGAGCUCGGCGCCACUACAUCACCUGCAUCGAGUCAUCUUCCACCUUCGGCCGCCGCUCAUCGCCGCUUCGAUUUGUCGCCUCCAAGCCUUCCCCGAGCUUACUUUGCACCUCUACAGGUUCGCGGUGAGGUCCCCGACCGAUUCCCCUCGUUCCCAACUUCAAUCCACCCCGUUAGGCGCCGCCCCCGUGCUCGUCCGUGGCCGGCAUGGCCGGAGCCCGAGCUCCCGUGUACGUGCUCUGCUGCUACGCUAUUUGCUGUUGCUUGUUGCUCCUUGGCUACGCCCGCACCCACCACCUCAGCCGCCAGCGUCCACCACUGCUCCGCGCGCCCGCCCGCCUUUGCUCGCCAGCGUCGUCCGAGCCGCCUCCGCGACACGCUCCCUGGCCUUCCCGCCUCGGGACGCCGCUGGCCGGGGCCGCGCCUUGCUCCCCGCGUGCCACUACGGCUGCCGCUGAGGCCCCGUUGCCGUUGUUGCCUUGCUGUCGCAGUCGUGGCCGACUGCUGCCUCGAGCGAGCGCAGGCAAGCAGCUCCCCCCCUCGGUCGUCUCUGUCCCUGCCAGAUCGGGCUGGCCCUGGCUAACCGAGGAUUAAUUUAGGACUAAUUCCCCACUAAUGGCGCACUGACAUGUGGGGCCCCCACCACUAUUUAGCAUAAAUAAUUCUUAAACUAAAAUUAGUUUACCCUGUGACACUGACAUGUGGGUCCUCCCCUAAAUAAAACAACUUAGUUAAAAUUAAACAAAUGCUAGUCAAUGACACCUGGACCCCACCUGCCCUUUGACUGGUCAACUUUGACCUUUCACCCGCUGACUCAGCACACCCCUGGACCCAGAGUCAUAGACCUAGGCUAGUCCACUUGUGGGUAUAAAAAGUAUUCUACCGUAUUUAAUAUUUUCGAAUUUAAUUAAUUCCAAAAAAUUGUUUAAAUUUUGGAAAUUCAUAUAAAUUAAUCCGUAGCUCGGAUGAAAAUGUUUUAUAUAUGAAAAAUGCUCAGAAAAAUAUGACAAAUCCGAAUAUGUCACCCACAUACCUGCCACACCCCUCUAACCUACUGAACAUGGAACCUUCCCCUCUCAUUCAUCUGUCCGGAAAAUGCCAAAUGCCGGGAAAACCCCUCCGGAUGUUUUCCAUCUCCGUCUUCAACGUGUAGUACCGCGUUAGUUCACCCCUAACACCGCUUAUUACCAUGUUAUGCUUUGUGAUGGUUUGUUUGCUUUAUAAUUAUUGUUUUCCCCCCUCUUCUCCCAGGUAGACCCCGAGACCGAUGCCGCCCCUAUGAUCGACUACAUCGGCGACGACACUUCUUCCCUUUCAGCCGAGCUUCCAGGCACGCCCCCCCUUUUGAUCAUCCCGAUAUCGCCCAUUCCAUUCUCUCAUGCUUGCAUUAGAUUUUGCUACUGUAAUUGUUUGCUCCUAUUCGGAUGCAUAGCCUGCUUUUGUAUAUGCUGUUGUAUCUUACCUGCUUAUCCUAAACUGCUUAGUAUAGGUUGGUUAGUGAUCCAUCAGCGACCCCCACCUUGUCCUUCUUGCCCCUGCUUCAUCAUCGAAGACCCGAUCAACGGGAUCGAAGACCAGGCCCCGGCACCGCACAUCACUUUCCCCUUAAUUGCUCGACACUACUGGGUUACUAUCGAGUGCCGAGGGUGAGACCUCAUCAGCACUUCUGAUGUUAACCCUGUGGUGUAGCUAUUCGGUCGUGGUCAUCGAGGGUGAUUUCCUCCUUAACCACUUCCAAUACGACUCUGUCGUUCAACCCCUCAAGUGUGAACCUCGAGGGUGGAUCCUCUUACGUUCACCUUGAUGAUUACAUCGAGUGGAAUUCACCGGGGGUGAUUCCUCGGGGUUUCCCCUUGAUGAUUAGACACACGGAUACUUGGACUUUACAACUGUUACUUGGAAAGGCGGGUCGACCCUGAGGGGUACCCGUGAGUGAUGUGGAGACGGGUUGACCUGGAGGGUGCCCGUGAGAUAAUUACUAGGCGUGGCCGGGCAUUCCUAGCCCUUGCCGCAAGUCCUCGAGACGGGGCAACGGGGUCACAUCUUUCGUGAGUCUCUGCUUGUUACUGCGCGUUCCUAAUCCAGUACGAUUUGGAUAUUUGAUCCGAGGGGCCUCUGGCCUGAUAGCACUAACCAUCACGUGGGCAUAGUAUGGGCGUUCUGCGUCGUAUGCAUCAGCCGAAGCUUAAUAGACGUCAGCGACUGAGCGGUGCACGCCGGGUUGGACUGUGUAAGCACCUGCCUUUUUGAAGGAGGUAGCUAGGUCUACUCACCGGCCGCCCUCGUAACGUGCAAGAGUUCCCGGGGUGAUGGCCCAUAACCCCUGGGGGCAUAGGUUUAGUCCGGCGUGCUGACCUCUCUAUUAAGCCUUGGUUGGGUUGCGGCGUAUUGUUUGGCCGAGGCCGGGCAUGACCCAGGAAAGUGUGUCCGAUCGGAGUUAAUCGAGCAUGGUGGGUAAGUUGGUGCACCCCUGCAGGGAAGAAAACAUCUAUCGAUAGCCUGUCCUACGGUAACGGACACUUGGAGUUCUAUCCCUAUCGAUACAACUAGAACUGGAUACUUGAGAUAGACAUGGAUAUGAGAAAUGGAUAGUAUGGCUCUGGGAUUGCUUUCUCGCAGGGAGUCGAGAAAGGAUCUCUGGCCGAGGUUGAUAACACUACUACUACUUUACUUUAUGCUACUCUACUCCCUCCUGUUGCUGCAAGAUGGUGGUUUCUAGAAGAUGCUAGUCUUCGAUAGGACUAGGUUCUCCCCUCUAUUCUGGCAUUUCUGCAGUUCAGUCCACAUAUACAGCCCAUUUCAUUGAUACCGAUGCAUAUGUACUGUAGUUCCUUGCUUGCGAGUACUUUGGAUGAGUACUCACGGUUGCUUUUCUCCCCCUUUUCCCCCUUUCUUCUUGUUUGUGGUUGAUGCAACCAGAUGUCGGAGCCCAGGAGCCAGAUGCCACCGCCGAUGCUUACUACUACGUGGAGGUCGCCGACGACUAGGAGUAGUUAGGAGGCUCCCAGGCAGGAGGCCUUGCCUUUUCGAUCGAUGUUGCUUUUGUGCUAGCCUUCUUAAGGCAAACUUGUCUAACUUAUGUCUGUACUCAGAUAUUGUUGCUUUCGCUGACUCUUAUGUUUUUGAGCUUAUGUAUUCGAGCCCUCGAGGCCCCUGGCUUGUAAUAUAAAGCUUGUAUUAUUUUCAAUUUGUGUCUAGAGUUGUGUUGGGAUAUCUUCCCGUGAGUCCUUGAUCUUGAUCGUACACAUUUGCGUGUAUAUUAGUGUACGAUUGAGUCGAGGGCGUCACAAGUUGGUAUCAGAGCCGACUGCCUGUUGGUAGCCCCCUUUCCAACUCCUUGGCCUAAGUUGAGUCUAGUCAUUGAAAAACUUUUACUAACAUGGCUGUGUGGCUUACGGGCCCACGUUGCCAUUGGGUGGUAUUAGGAUCUUUUACUCCUGGUCUAUACUCUGGGACUCUGAUCUCUCUUCCAUUCAGGUUAAACGAAUUUACUAACUCUAACACUAGGAUCUCGUAAUUACUUCUUCCCGGAGAGCCCCUUAUUACAGAUGAUCCCCUGCUGCACCAGAAGAUUCCGAAGAUACUCUACGAUGUUCUCUUGAGACUUUGUGCAUGUCGCUUUUGCAAUUCCCUACCACCGACAUAUCCUUAUGGAUAACUACAUACACUUGUCAUUCAUACAAUCAUUCCUUGUUGCUCUUGUUAUUUCAAGAUGCCCUAAAAUACUCUCCGUUGCCCCGAGAAUGCCUUGAGCUUACUGCCUUGCAGUUCUUUACCACAUGAAUACCCCUACGGAUAAUUCCUCGCACUUAUCGAGUAUCCGUUCAUCCCCAGUUGUUCGUAUGCUUCAUAAGAUUCUCUGAAAUACUAUUCGAUAUUCCGAGAAUCCUCUUCAAACUAUUGCUCGGCAAUUACUUGUCUGCUUACAUUAUGGAUGCUUCUCAUAUGUCUAGCAAUAUUCAUUAGUAUCAUUUGACACCGUCAUUUUGUUCCUAUUGAUUCAACAUGUGAGUGAAUGCGCGCAAUCAUCAGUUGAUCCUUUUAAAUGAUCUUUCCGGCUCAGACGUCACUCCGGACAUGAACUGGUUCUCGGCAAAGCAAACCUUAAUUAAUUGUCCAUCUAUAUCUAUUCAACUUACUUGUCUUUUGAUCAGAGUGUCUGCUUCUGAUCUUCUAAUUUGGAAAUCAUAAUUUCUUUGCAUUAAGCAUCGAAUUAUUCAGAUGUUUCUAUAAACCAAUGCCAUUGCACUCUUUCCUUCUUCUGAUUGAGUACUGAUACUCAAAUCAGAUCCAUUGAGGACCGUUGAAUCCUUUGUUGGAUUAUUAUCCGGCAGUUUCCUUCAUAUUCAAAAUUUUGUGCGCUCUUCCCCUGAUACAUAUUGCCUUUGGUAAAUUGUAUUCUCUGCUUUGUCAACCAUGCUCUGCUUCCGAGCUUGAGUUAAUUACCUCUAAAGUUUUUGCAAAUGUUCCUAAGAUGCUCCGACGGGUUGAACUAAUGCUUUCCCUAAUUUGUGUGAACCCGGAAAUUUCUAUGGGUCAUACUCUACUGGUGUUACGCCGGAUAAAAAUUUCUACACUACAACUUUGUCAAAAGCGAGAAGUAAAUGAGAGGUUAUGCAUUGAAGAAGUGGGAGUCGACCUUGAACUUUGUGUUCAUGCCCAUAGACACGAUGUAGAUCUUAUCAUGGAAGCUUCUCUUAUAAUCAAAUGUUCCCUUGGUAUAAGCUCAUCUUGCAUCUUUAAAUUGAUUCUUUGCAAUUGUGGUUCCGACCAUAUUUUCUCCUUGAUUCCAUUUCCCGGACAAGUUGAAAUACUUGUCUUCUGCAGAUCAUUUCAUCUAUCCAACCUCUAUUUUGAUCUACCUCGAGUAUUGCCCCCUGUUAUCUCGAGGAUAUUGUGUCAUUGCACUACCUCUUGUGAAUUCUCAUUGGAAUGAUACUCCAUCAUCAUUCCUUUCCUGAUCGGCUAUAUCAUUAUCGAGCUAAUUUUAACGGUGCUACCCGGUCCUUCUUCCCGGAGCAACUUCCGACGACGAGCUAAGCUUACGUCGAUCUCCUUUAUCUUAUCAUUUCGCCUUGAACAACAGGCUUGAUUUCGAGUUUGUGUCGUAUCCGUGGUUCCAAUAAACUUUUGCUUCAUCAUUCCUUUGACUUGACGUCAUCUCCAAUCGAUUACAUCUUCAUGAAACCUCUCGACAAAUUUGUCAUGAUCAUCAUCAAUAUUCUGAGCUCUUCCAGGAUAUCAAUCGAAUUCAUGAUGAGAAAUACAAUCCUUGCCCCUCAAUGUUUUAUGUUAUCAUCGACAACAUUCUUGCCUUCCCCAACACAAACUUGUUCAUAUAAUUUGGGUAAUACAUCCUUUUUGACAUGUCAAUGGAUUGUUGCUAAGCCCGUCGGCCACACCCUCAUUUUUUCCUUACUGAAAUUGUAUGACUUAUUGUCUAAGUUGUUUCCGAUGGAUCCUUUGUGUAUCCGAAGUCUGACCUUUCCCUGAUGACCAUGUCAACACUAUCCCGAAGCAUGUGUGUGGUACUCCGAUCAUCAACAAGAACAUUGGGAGCGCAAUGCUAACUGUUCUUGAUCAAUUAUCCAAACACCGUUGUAUGGGUAAACCUCAUAAAUUCCUUGCCCCUUUGUCUAAACGGUUUAAUACUUGGAGUCCUAUCAUGCUCUGCCUUUCCUUGGGAAAGUUAUACUCUAAUACUUGGGUAUAAACAUCUUUCCUUUCCAUUGGUCUGAUUAUCACAAUAAUCACAUUUUCCGUUCCAUUGUUUGUUUCACCUUUCUUGUAAUCUAACUUGUAUGAGCAGAGAUAAAUCCCUGCUUAAGUAAGCACCUCGGUGUACAACUCUGUCAGUAAGACCCUGUUACUAUUGUUGAUGACAUUCCGGUAACCACCGAUGGACGAGAACUUUGCCUAUUGGUCCGCCUCGUCUUACGAGCAGGAAAAUGGUUCUCUUCGUCCCUCGCCCUUGGUACCAACGCUGUUGCCAACAUAAUCGGCAGGCUAUCCUCUGACCUGCCUUGCUAUCAUGACCGUGCAAAAUGUUAGCGCCUUCCUGCUUCUAACCCACAUGGUGGGCCCAUAACCCACAGUUCCACAUGAUCGAAACCUGACACUCCUGUAUAUCCUUGAUUCCGAAAUAUUCUUGCAUUUGGCUUCUUAUCAUAUCACGAGCCACCUUUCGAGAGAUGAUCUAUUCCCGAUGCUCUGAACCCCUUUCUCUCUUUUUCACUCCGUUCAGGUAUCAUUCGUUUCUCCAUUCACGUGAAACUUCUUAUUGUACCUUCAUAUUUUGCUCUCGACAUUUUCUUAAAUUUUAACUCGAGAGAUACUUCUGUCACAUUCCCUGCAUUGUUCACCAGAUAAUUAACCCUAUAAGGGCCAGUUCUCCCGAAGUUACUCUUUACUUCCCCACUUAAAUCUCGGGACGAGAUUUUUUUGUAGUGGAGGAGAUUUCUAACACCCCUGGAGUCAUGCUACAGUAAUCUCAUGCCUAAUGAUGCUAUGUCAUCAUAAUUCUUUUGAUAAUCCUCACUUUGCUUCAAACCGAACUCAAAUCCAAAUUCUAUGGCCAAGUCAAAUUAUUAUUUUAUAAAACAGUAAAGCUAAAAUGUUCACAAUAUUCUAUAAAUUCACCUGAUCAUUGUCAUGUUGGAACCAACCUCUUGGAUUCCCACAAUGCUCCUAAAAAUUUAUUCAGUGGACCAACAACCAAUUAUUUGAGCUUUUUAAUUUCUAAAAAUAGUAGAACACUCCCCAAAUGCUUUGAAACCUUUUGUACCAACCCAGGUUAUUGCCUUGUAUUUUUGUGCCAAGUUUUGUAUUAAACAAAACUCUUUUAGUGGCUCAAAGAAAAUAAACAUAAGGUAAAAAAACUAAAACAAGAAAGAUGAAAAGAAAAGGUGAAAGAAAAGGAACAAAUGGGCACUGUGCAUGUGGCCCAGCCAGGUCAACAGUGCAUCCUGGCCCAGACCGACCGGCCUUUCCUUCCACCUCCCUCCAGCGCAGCAGGCAGAGGCGCCAUAGCCGCCCACGCACGAGAUGCCACACGUGGCAUGCAUCCCGCGGUCCUACCGCUAGGUUAAGAGCUGCCCCAAGCCUCCUCCCCCCUGAACGAACCCUAGUCACCACUCCAUCUCUCCCCCGCUCGUUUUCUUCCCCCACAACCCGUAGCCGAAGCAACCCCGCCAUGGCCAUCGUCAUUCGCGCGCUCCUCGUCACCCCCGAAGCAUGUGGCCGUGCCCCUUGACUCCGCCCUCGCCCGCUACUUCCUCUGCUGUCAACCGUUGGAGCUCGGCGCCACUACAUCACCUGCAUCGAGUCAUCUUCCACCUUCGGCCGUCGCUCAUUGCCGCUUCGAUUUGUCGCCUCCAAGCCUUCCCCGAGCUUACUUUGCACCUCUACAGGUUCGCGGUGAGGUCCCCGACCGAUUCCCCUCGUUCCCAACUUCAAUCCACCCCGUUAGGCGCCACCCCCGUGCUCGUCCGUGUCCGCCAUGGCCGGAGCCCGAGCUCCCGUGUACGUGCUCUGCUGCUGCGCUAUUUGCUGUUGCUUGUUGUUCCUUGGCUCCGCCCGCACCCACCACCUCAGCCGCCAGCGUCCACCAUCGCUCUGCGCGCCUGCCCGCCUUUGCUCGCCGGCGUCGUCCGAGCCACCUCCGCGACGCGCUCCCUAGCCUUCCCGCCUCGGGACGCCGCUGGCCGGGGCCGCGCCUUGCUCCCCGCGUGCCACUACGGCUGCCGCUGAGGCCCCGUUGCCGCUGCUGCCUUGCUGCCACGGUCGUGGCCGGCCCCUGCCUCGAGCGAGCGCAGGCAAGCAGCUCCCCCCCUCGGUCGUCUCUGUCCCUGCAAGAUCGGGAUGGCCCUGGCUAACCGAGGAUUAGUUUAGGACUAAUUCCCCACUAAUGGCACACUGACAUGUAGGGCCCCCACCACUGUUUAUCAUAAAUAAUUCUUAAACUAAAAUUAGUUUACCCUGUGACACUGACAUCUGGGUCCUCCCCUAAAUAAAACAACUUAGUUAAAAUUAAACAAACGCUAGUCAAUGACACCUGGACCCCACCUGCCCUUUGACUGGUCAACUUUGACCUUUGACCCGCUGACUUAGCACACCCCUGGACCCCAUAGUCAUAGACCUAGGCUAGUCCACUUGUGGGUAUAAAAAGUAUUUUGCCGUAUUUAAUAUUUUCGAAUUUAAUUAAUUCCAGAAAAUUGUUUAAACUUUGGAAAUUCAUAUAAAUUAAUCCGUAGCUCGGAUGAAAAUGUUUUAUGUAUGAAAAAUGCUCAGAAAAAUAUGACGAACCCGAAUAUGUCACCGACAUACCUGCCACACCCCUCUAACCUACUGAACAUGGAACCUUUCCCUCUGAUUCAUCUGUCCGGAAAAUGCCAAAUGCCGGGAAAACCCCUCCGGAUGUUUUCCAUCUCCGUCUUCAACGUGUAGUACCGCGUUAGUUCACCCCUAACACCGUGUAUUACCAUAUUUUGCUUUGUGAUGCUUUGUUUGCUUUAUAUUUAUUGUUUCUUCCCCCUCUUCUCUCCGGUAGACCCCGAGACCGAUGCCGCCCCUGUGAUCGACUACAUCGGCGACGACACUUCUUCCUUUUCAGCCGAGCUUCCAGGAAAGCCCCCCCUUUGAUCAUCCCGAUAUCGCCCAUUCCAUUCUCUCAUGCUUGCAUUAGAUUUUGCUACUGUAAUUGUUUGCUCCUAUUCCGAUGCAUAGCCUGCUUUUGUAUCUACUGUUGUACCUUACCUGCUUAUCCUAAACUGCUUAGUAUAGGUUGGUUAGUGAUCCAUCAGCGACCCCCACCUUGUCCUUCUUGCCCCUGCUUCAUCAUCGAAGACCCGAUCAACGGGAUCGAAGACCAGGCCCCGGCACCGCACAUCACUUUCCCCUUAAUUGCUCGACACUACUGGGUUACUAUCGAGUGCCGAGGGUGAGACCUCAUCAGCACUUCUGAUGUUAACUCUGUAGUGUAGCUAUUCAGUCGUGGUCAUCAAGGGUGAUUUCCUCCUUAACCACUUCUGAUACGACUCUGUCGUGCAACCCCUCAAGUGUGAACCUCGAGGGUGGAUCCUCUUACGUUCACCUUGAUGAUUACAUCGAGUGGAAUUCACCGGGGGUGAUUCCUCGGGUUUUCCCCUUGAUGAUUAGACACACGGAUACUUGGACUUUACAACUAUUACUUGGAAAGGCGGGUCAACCCUGAGGGGUACCCGCGAGUGAUGUGGCGACGGGUUGACCUGGAGGGUGCCCGCGAGAUAAUUACGAGGUGUGGCCGGGCAUUCCUAGCCCUUGCCGCAAGUCCUCGAGACGGGGCAACGGGGUCACAUCUUUCGUGAGUCUCUGCUUGUUACCGCGUGCUCCUAAUCCACUACGAUUUGGAUAUUUGAUCCGAGGGGCCUCUGGCCUGAUAGCACUAACCAUCACGUGGGCAUAGUAUGGGCGUUCUGCGUCGUAUGCAUCAGCCGAAGUUUAAUAGACGUCAGCGACUGAGAGGCGUGCGCCGGGUUGGACUGCGUAAGCACCUGCUUUUUUGAAGGAGGUAGCUAGGUCUGCUCACCGGCCACCCUCGCAACGUGUAGGAGUUCCCAGGGCGAUGGCCCAUGACCCCUAGGGGCAUAGGUUUAGUCCGGCCUGCUGACCUCUCUAUUAAGCCUAGGUCGGGUUGCGGCGUAUUGUUUGGCCGAGGCCGGGCAUGACCCGGGAAAGUGUGUCCGGCCGGAGUUAAUCGAGCGUGGUGGGUAAGUUGGUGCACCCCUGCAGGGAAGAAAACAUCUAUCGAUAGCCUGUCCUACGGUAACGGACACUUGGAGUUGUAUCCCGAUCGAUACAACUAGAACUGGAUACUUGAGAUGAGACAUGGAUAUGAGAAAUGGAUAAUAUGGCUCUGGGAUUGCUUUCUCGCAGGGAGUCGAGAAAGGAUCUCUGGCCGAGGUUGAUAACACUACUACUACUUUACUUUAUGCUACUCUACUCCCUCCUGUUGCUGCAAGAUGGUGGUUUCCAGAAGAUGCUAGUCUUCGAUAUUACUAGAUUCUCCCCUCUAUUCUGGCAUUUCUGCAGUUCAGUCCACAUAUACAGCCCAUUUCAUUGAUACCGAUGCAUAUGUAGUGUAGUUCCUUCCUUGCGAGUACUUUGGACGGGUACUCACUGUUGCUUUGCUCCCCCUUUCUUCUUCUUUCUGGUUGAUGCAACCAGAUGUCGGAGCCCAGGAGCCAGAUGCCACCGCCGAUGCUUACUACUACGUGGAGGCCGCCGCCGACUAGGAGUAGUUAGGAGGAUCCCAGGCAGGAGGCCUUGCCUUUUCGAUCGAUGUGCUUUUGUGCUAGCCUUCUUAAGGCAAACUUGUCUAAUUUAUGUCUGUACUCAGAUAUUGUUGCUUCCGCUGACUCUUAUGUUUUUGAGCUUAUGUAUUCGAGCCCUCGAGGCCCCUGGCUUGUAAUAUAAAGCUUGUAUUAUUUCCAAUUUGUGUCUAGAGUUGUGUUGUAAUAUCUUCCCGCGAGUCCUUGAUCUUGAUCGUACACAUUUGCGUGUAUAUUAGUGUACGAUUGAAUCGAGGGCGUCACAGCGCCCUUCCCAGCU
rnacentral:lncRNA from 1 species